rnacentral:rRNA from 1 species
GUCUACGGCCAUGCUACCCUGAACACGCCCGACCCCAUCUGAUUCAGAAGCUAAGCAGGGUCAGACCUGGUUAGUACUUGGAUGGGAAACCACCUAGGACUUCCUAUGAAAUGAACU